rnacentral:rRNA from 1 species
AGAGAGAGACAUGCGUGCAUAUCAAUAAGCGGAGGAAAAGAAACUAACUAGGAUUCCCUCAGUAACGGCGAGUGAAGCGGGAAGAGCUCAAAUUUGAAAUCUUAAAGGUUUCCCUUGACGAAUUGUAGUUUAAAGAAGUGUUUUCUGUUGGAGUUUUGGUAAAAGUUCUUUGGAAUAGGACAUCAUAGAGGGUGAGAAUCCCGUAUUUGACCAUUAUUUCCAGCUUUGUGAUACACUUUCAAAGAGUCGGAUUGUUUGGGAAUGCAGUCCAAAAUGGGUGGUAAAUUUCAUCUAAAGCUAAAUACUGGCGAGAGACCGAUAGCGAACAAGUACCGUGAGGGAAAGAUGAAAAGAACUUUGAAAAGAGAGUUAAACAGUACGUGAAAUUGUCAAAAGGGAAGCGUUUGACACCAGUGUUGUUUUCUCGAAAAUCAAUUAAAAAAGGCAGGAUUUUGUGUUGUAUUGACUUUAUCAGCUUUCUGCACUCUUUUCUUGUCUUUUUUAAUGCACUUUUCGUUUAACAAGUCAACAUCAAUUUCUUUUGUUGUAAAAGGGUCAUUGGAAGGUGGCUUUCUUUUCGGAGAAAGUGUUUAUAGCCUUUGGCCUCUGCAAUCGGAGAGAUUGAGGUCUGCAGCGUAGAUCCUUCGGGGUUAGAUACAUUUGUGCUAAGUUAUAGCCUUUCAUAGACAACUUGUUGACUAUGAUCAGUCAUGUAGCUUACUCGCUUAUGCUAUUUUACCUACGCUUAGGAUGUUGAUGUGAUACUGCGAGCA